AGUGGCGAACGGGUGAGUAACACGUAGGUGACCUGCCCCAGAGAAGAGAAUAACCAUGCGAAAGCGUGGCUAAUACUCUAUAAGGUCGGUUAUUCGGUUAGCCGAUUAAAGUUACGGCGCUCUGGGAGGGGCCUGCGGCCCAUCAGCUAGUUGGUAGGGUAAUGGCCUACCAAGGCGAUGACGGGUAGCUGGUCUGAGAGGACGAUCAGCCACAAUGGGACUGAAACACGGCCCAU
rnacentral:rRNA from 1 species